UGGAUGUGACAUGGGAGGGAGAAAGC
rnacentral:piRNA from 1 species